UACGUAGGGUGCGAGCGUUGUCCGGAAUUAUUGGGCGUAAAGAGCUCGUAGGCGGCCUGUCGCGUCGGAUGUGAAAGCCCGGGGCUCAACCCCGGGUCUGCAUUCGAUACGGGCAGGCUAGAGUGUGGUAGGGGAGAUCGGAAUUCCUGGUGUAGCGGUGAAAUGCGCAGAUAUCAGGAGGAACACCGGUGGCGAAGGCGGGUCUCUGGCCCGAUACUGACGCUGAGGAGCGAAAGCGUGGGGAGCGAACAGG
rnacentral:rRNA from 1 species